rnacentral:rRNA from 1 species
GACGCUGGCGGUAGGCUUAACACAUGCAAGUCGUGCGAGAAAGUAUCUUCGGAUAUGAGUAGAGCGGCGGACGGGUGAGUAACGCGUAGGAAUCUACCUAGUAGAAGGGGAUAGCCCGGGGAAACUCGGAUUAAUACCGUAUACCUCCUUAGGGAGAAAGAGGGCCUCUCUUGAUGCUCUCGCUAUUAGAUGAGCCUGCGUAAGAUUAGCUUGUUGGUGAGGUAAUGGCUCACCAAGGCUACGAUCUUUAGCUGGUCUGAGAGGACGAUCAGCCACAUUGGGACUGAGACACGGCCCAGACUCCUACGGGAGGCAGCAGUGGGGAAUAUUGGACAAUGGGCGCAAGCCUGAUCCAGCCAUACCGCGUGUGUGAAGAAGGCCUUCGGGUUGUAAAGCACUUUAAGCAGGGAGAAAAAGUUAUAAGUUAAUACCUUAUAACCGUGAUGUUACCUGCAGAAUAAGCACCGGCUAAUUCCGUGCCAGCAGCCGCGGUAAUACGGAAGGUGCAAGCGUUAAUCGGAAUUACUGGGCGUAAAGCGCGCGUAGGUGGUUUGUUAAGUUGGAUGUGAAAGCCCUGGGCUCAACCUAGGAACUGCAUCCAAAACUAACUCACUAGAGUACGAUAGAGGGAGGUAGAAUUCAUAGUGUAGCGGUGGAAUGCGUAGAUAUUAUGAAGAAUACCAGUGGCGAAGGCGGCCUCCUGGAUCUGUACUGACACUGAGGUGCGAAAGCGUGGGUAGCGAACAGGAUUAGAUACCCUGGUAGUCCACGCCGUAAACGAUGACAACUAGCUGUUGGGAAACAAUGUUUUUCAGUGGCGCAGCUAACGUUUUAAGUUGUCCGCC